ensembl:snRNA U6 U6 spliceosomal RNA
GUGCUUGCUUUGGCAGCACAUACACUAAAAUUGGAAGGAUACAGAGAAGAUUAGCAUGGCCCCUGUGCAAGGAUGACAUGCAAAUUCAUGAAGCGUUCCAUAUUUUU